AUGAAACAGAUGGUCAUAGAAUUGGUUCAGUGGUUGUGAGUGCAGCAACCCAAGAGUGUCUUAUCUGAAAUACCACCAGGAAUGCCUGGACACAGUAGACAAAGGUUGUUCAACUGGACGCCUUAGGAUACAUGCUUCCAAAAACAAAGUAGCUGAAAAGAAACUAGAAUAACAGGAUAUCAGAGCCAGAGGAGCAUUUGGAGAAGUACGGGAAGGAUGAAAUUACUUUUGAUGGAGAGAGCAUUUAGUGUCUCAGAGAGAAGACAGGACAUCAUUCAUCACUUUCAUGAUGGGGCCGGCAGAUACCACCAUGGUGACGUUUGUGGCAGAAGAGGUGGAGCCAGGGACUGGGGAGAAGAAACGCAAACACAUGAUGGGUUAAAAACUGGUGAAAUCGAAUAGGUUUAAUCAGGACUGAGGAAGAACAUGGCAAGAUAAGUUUAUGGUCAGGGUUGGUUGGUGAUCCUCAGUGUUGCUGCGCAGUAGAAGGUUUUGUGAGCCUGGAACUUGGGAGACUGUUCGGUAGCCCAGGUCUCCUAAGAGUGGGUGCAGUGGCUGUGACCCUGGGCUGCUCAGCAUUCAUGUGGAAAUGAAGGAAGGAGGACUGGAUCAAUCCCAUUUGAAAGCAUCCUUCUCUGCAGCCCACACAAUCCUCCAAUGACACUGACAGAGGUGUACCCUCCUAGUGUACUGGGACCAAAAUUCGGAAGUGUCUGCAAACUUGCUUUAACCGUAUGGGAAAUAACCUCUAUCACCUGGAAUUUCCUUGGGACUUUGGAAAAUACAAGAGAAGUAUGAGACUUGGGUCUUCCCUUGGCUGUGUUUAAUUCACUCUUCUAUGGAAUACCAAUGAUUCUCACUAAGACUUUUGCCUUUUUAUAACCACAAUGUAUGCUUUAUGGAGAAGAUUUUACUCUUUGCUCUACUUAGAAAGAAUAAAUAUGAGCAAUGCUUUA
rnacentral:lncRNA from 1 species